GAUGAAGAACGUAGCGAAAUGCGAUAAGUAGUGUGAAUUGCAGAAUUCAGUGAAUCAUCGAAUCUUUGAACGCACAUUGCGCCCAUCAGUAUUCUGUUGGGCAUGCCUGUCCGAGCGUCAUUUCAACCCUCAGGGCCCGUUCGCGGGAACUGGUGUUGGGGAUCGGCCUCCCCCCGGAGGCCGGCCCCGAAAUGCAGUGGCGGCUCUACCGCGAUCUCCUCUGUGUAGUAGCGAUACCUCGCAGCUGGAUAGUGGUGGUGCCACGCCGUAAAAUCCCAACUUUACCAAGGUUGACCUCGGAUCAGGUAGGAAUACCCGCUGAACUUAAGCAUAUCAAUAAGCGGAGGA
rnacentral:misc_RNA from 1 species